rnacentral:rRNA from 1 species
AGCGAACGCUGGCGGCAGGCCUAACACAUGCAAGUCGAGCGCCCGUAGCAAUACGGGAGCGGCAGACGGGAGAGUAACACGUGGGAACGUACCCUUUGGUUCGGAACAACACAGGGAAACUUGUGCUAAUACCGGAUAAGCCCUUACGGGGAAAGAUUUAUCGCCAAAGGAUCGGCCCGCGUCUGAUUAGCUAGUUGGUGAGGUAACGGCUCACCAAGGCGACGAUCAGUAGCUGGUCUGAGAGGAUGAUCAGCCUCAUUGGGACUGAGACACGGCCCAAACUCCUACGGGAGGCAGCAGUGGGGAAUAUUGGACAAUGGGCGCAAGCCUGAUCCAGCCAUGCCGCGUGGGUGAUGAAGGCCCUAGGGUUGUAAAGCCCUUUCGGCGGGAAGAUAAUGACGGUACCCGCAGAAGAAGCCCCGGCUAACUUCGUGCCAGCAGCCGCAGU